UACGUAGGGCGCAAGCGUUGUCCGGAAUUAUUGGGCGUAAAGAGUUGCGUAGGUGGCAUGGUAAGCGAGUAGUGAAAGCGUUCCGCUCAACGGAAUAAACAUUAUUCGAACUGCCAAGCUAGAGGAUGAGAGAGGUAGAUGGAAUUCCUAGUGUAGGGGUAAUAUCCGUUGAUAUUAGGAGGAACACCAAUGGCGUAGGCAGUCUACUGGCUCAUUUCUGACACUCAGGCACGAAAGCAUGGGGAGCAAACAGG
rnacentral:rRNA from 1 species